rnacentral:rRNA from 1 species
UACGUAGGUUCCGAGCGUUGUCCGGAAUUAUUGGGCGUAAAGGGCUCGUAGGCGGUUCGUCACGUCGGGAGUGAAAACUCGGGGCUUAACCCCGAGCCUGCUUCCGAUACGGGCAGACUAGAGGCAGGCAGGGGAGAGCGGAACUCCUGGUGUAGCGGUGGAAUGCGCAGAUAUCAGGAAGAACACCGGUGGCGAAGGCGGCUCUCUGGGCCUUACCUGACGCUGAGGAGCGAAAGCGUGGGUAGCGAACAGG